rnacentral:rRNA from 1 species
AUACGUAGGGAGCGAGCGUUGUCCGGAUUUACUGGGUGUAAAGGGUGCGUAGGCGGCUCUGCAAGUCAGGUGUGGAAACCAUCGGCUUAACUGAUGGACUGCAUUUGAAACUGUGGGGCUUGAGCGGAGUAGAGGCAGACGGAAUUCCCGGUGUAGCGGUGAAAUGCGUAGAGAUCGGGAAGAACACCAGUGGCGAAGGCGGUCUGCUGGGCUCUAACUGACGCUGAGGCACGAAAGCAUGGGUAGCAAACAGGAUUAGAUACCCUGGUAGUCCAUGCCGUAAACGAUGAUUACUAGGUGUGGGGAGUCUGACCCUCUCCGUGCCGGAGUUAACACAGUAAGUAAUCCACCUGGGAAGUACGGCCGCAAGGUUAAA